rnacentral:misc_RNA from 1 species
UUGCAUAUACAAACAUUGUCUCUUCAUCCAUUAAUAAAGUAUUUAAUUGCUGCCCAAUUUACACUGCAAGUACCUCUCCACAACGUCCAGCCCACAAAGCUCCUUCACAAUAGGCAUGGUGGCAGGAACCCCCACCUGGAAUGUUGAAUUAGAGCCAUCUAAGCAGCCCCAUGAAUGAAGCUGUUUUCUUGCUUCUCUAAUAGCAGCUUUUGUAGCACAGUGGACUGAGGCUGCUAGGAGCAGUGGUGGCUCACCAGAUGCUUUGGAAGAAAGAACACGUUUUGGGUUAAGUCUACUGUUAAGUAAUGCGACAUUGAACUGCUUUGGUAUGGUGUCAAUUGUAGGGAUCUUGUACGUCCACGUGCCUUCUGUGUCUACUAAUCCAUCUGAGUUUGUUGUAUAUUCUUCAAGCAUGAAAAAACCAAUUCCUUGGACAAAAGCUCCUUCAAUCUGUCCUAAAUCCACAGCAGGGUUGAGAGAUUGUCCACAAUCAUAUAAAAUAUCUGAUCUCAAAAUAGUUGUUUGCCCUGUCAGAAGGUCUACUUCCACCUCACUCACUGCAGCACCAUAGUUUAAGUAGUGUUUUGAAGCAAAGUUAGGAAUGAAGAAAGAAUUCACUGAUAAGUUCACAGCUUCCAAAUAUGCCUUUUGAACAAGCAUCUCCCAUCUUAUUGAAUCUGUUUGCGUCUGCAGCCUUUCCUUUAGAGGCAUCAAUCUCUCAACCAGUACUUCACAGCAAAGUCUGACUGCUUCAC